GGGUCAGUCGUAUAAAGGUCAUUACGGAAGGCUGUUAACUUCUUAUCGUGGUUCGAGUCCACGCUGUCCCGCCA
rnacentral:tRNA from 1 species